AGAGUAGACACCAGAUAACUCACAUAUUGGCCUCGCACGAGGUGAACUCAAGUCACACAAGCAUUUUCCAUGCAAAGUGUCGUCAGUUCAAGGACUUAACCCAUUGGACAAGUACUUAAUUAGCCAACGAGGACUCGAAGUGGCGGUUAUUUCCUUGGCGGUGGCGUCCUCCCAACUUGGCUUCAUGCCACUUUAAGUCAAUUCUGUCAGGUUCAGGGAUCCGAACUCGAAUGUCGGCCUGACAAUGUAUUGCAGACUGCACCCAUGUAGCCUGACAACUGCAGUGCCAGCCAACAGGACUCGCAAGUCCUUCGACUUGAAAAAAAUUCUUUCAAAGUCAGACAUGACUUUAUUUUUCUUCAAUAAUAAAAUAAUAUGUGAC
ensembl:ncRNA lncRNA:CR44672 long non-coding RNA:CR44672